GUGGCGAACGGGUGAGUAACACGUGAGUAACCUGCCCUUGACUCUGGGAUAAGCCUGGGAAACCGGGUCUAAUACUGGAUACGACCUUCCCGCGCAUGCGGUGUUGGUGGAAAGCUUUUGUGGUUUUGGAUGGACUCGCGGCCUAUCAGCUUGUUGGUGGGGUAAUGGCCUACCAAGGCGACGACGGGUAGCCGGCCUGAGAGGGUGACCGGCCACACUGGGACUGAGACACGGCCCAGACUCCUACGGGAGGCAGCAGUGGGGAAUAUUGCACAAUGGGCGCAAGCCUGAUGCAGCGACGCCGCGUGAGGGAUGAAGGCCUUCGGGUUGUAAACCUCUUUCAGUAGGGAAGAAGCUGACCCUUUGGGGUUGGUGACGGUACUUGCAGAAGAAGCGCCGGCUAACUACGUGCCAGCAGCCGCGGUAAUACGUAGGGCGCAAGCGUUAUCCGGAAUUAUUGGGCGUAAAGAGCUCGUAGGCGGUUUGUCGCGUCUGCCGUGAAAGUCCGGGGCUUAACCCCGGAUCUGCGGUGGGUACGGGCAGACUAGAGUGCAGUAGGGGAGACUGGAAUUCCUGGUGUAGCGGUGAAAUGCGCAGAUAUCAGGAGGAACACCGAUGGCGAAGGCAGGUCUCUGGGCUGUAACUGACGCUGAGGAGCGAAAGCAUGGGGAGCGAACAGGAUUAGAUACCCUGGUAGUCCAUGCCGUAAACGUUGGGCACUAGGUGUGGGGGACAUUCCACGUUUUCCGC
rnacentral:rRNA from 1 species